rnacentral:lncRNA from 1 species
UCGGCGUUUUGCAUUUGCGCCGAUCUGCAUUUCAUUUGCGCCGAUUUUUUCUUUCAUUUGCGCCGAUUUUUGUUUUCAUUUGCGCCGAUUUUAUUACAGGUAAAUUACAGGUGAAUAGAUAUAAGAAGAUGUGAUAUGAGUGUCGAUGAGAGAACUCUCCAUCCAAGUCAUGUUAUUUUUCAUUUGCCAGUUGUAUACAAAAUGUAAUGAAUUGUCAAUCACAACAUGUAUAUAACUGUUGUCCCCUGCUCACCACUGGGAGGUGGAAGAAGGCCUACAAGAUACAUCUUCAUACUUUUUUCCUUGUUGACCGUAUCCGUAGUUCUUUAGCAUCUGUCUUUCGGACAUCUGCCACAUGGUUAUGCUCGAUCUGUGUUUUGACAAUAGAAUCCGUGGUAACUCUGGCUUUACACGAUUGUAUGGUACAUUAGUAAGAUAUGUAGUUAUGUUUCAGAACACUGACCUUCCGAUAUCAUGGCUCUCGAUGAUUAGAGAAUUGACUUCUCGGUCCGUUUCGGUGUGCAAUAUGUCCAUCAAGUUAGAACGAAGUUCCAGAAUUAUAUGAAUCAAAAUUAACUUAAACAUGGAUGAAAAACAAUUAAUUUAUAACCAGAUUUUACCAAUGGUAUAGCACAGUACAUGUACAAGUUUUAACUUACCUGUAAAUCUAAUUAGGAGCGAAUAUAAAAUCGGCGCAAAUGAAAAAAUGAAAUCGGCGCAAAUGAAAAAAUGAACAUUUUUUAAAAUCGGCGCAAAUGUCAUACGCCCAAAAAAAG